rnacentral:tRNA from 1 species
GAGGGUAUAGCUCAGCGGCAGAGCGCAUGCUUAGCAUGCACGAGGUCCUGGGUUCAAUCCCCGGCACCUCCU